rnacentral:misc_RNA from 1 species
GCCUCUAUUUAUCAAACUGUGGACCCUAGAUUGGCUUAUUCAACGCUGGGAGUGGGACCCAUUGUCUACCCUCAACGACCUGGACAAACAGAAUGUGAUUACUACAUGAAGACUGGCGAGUGUAAGUUUGGGGAAAGAUGCAAGUUCCAUCACCCAAUUGAUAGGUCUACAGUAAUAGCAAUGCAAGCUCAAGAACAGAACGUUAAGCUCACUCUUGCAGGAUUACCUAGGAGAGAGGGUGCAGUUCACUGCCCAUUUUACAUGACAACUGGCACAUGCAAAUUCGGUGCAACAUGCAAAUUUGACCACCCACCCCUCACGGCUAUUGCAGCAUCACAAGGAACAUCCACAUCUGCUGGUGUUGAUUUGAAUGGGGCUGUAGCUGGAACUCUCUAAGAACAGUAGCAGUGGUGCCUUUAUUUUAUUUUGAAAAAUUUUAUUAAAUUUCAUACUGGAUUUAGCAGAAUAAUGUUCAGGUCAUGUAUGCCUAAUCGGUGUAGUCGAUGAAAUGAAAGCCGGAG